CUAUGACGUUAGCUCCGGCACGGGUGAGUAACACGUGGGCAACCUGCCUGUAAGACUGGGAUAACUUCGGGAAACCGAAGCUAAUACCGGAUAGGAUCUUCUCCUUCAUGGGAGAUGAUUGAAAGAUGGUUUCGGCUAUCACUUACAGAUGGGCCCGCGGUGCAUUAGCUAGUUGGUGAGGUAACGGCUCACCAAGGCAACGAUGCAUAGCCGACCUGAGAGGGUGAUCGGCCACACUGGGACUGAGACACGGCCCAGACUCCUACGGGAGGCAGCAGUAGGGAAUCUUCCGCAAUGGACGAAAGUCUGACGGAGCAACGCCGCGUGAGUGAUGAAGGCUUUCGGGUCGUAAAACUCUGUUGUUAGGGAAGAACAAGUACGAGAGUAACUGCUCGUACCUUGACGGUACCUAACCAGAAAGCCACGGCUAACUACGUGCCAGCAGCCGCGGUAAUACGUAGGUGGCAAGCGUUAUCCGGAAUUAUUGGGCGUAAAGCGCGCGCAGGCGGUUUCUUAAGUCUGAUGUGAAAGCCCACGGCUCAACCGUGGAGGGUCAUUGGAAACUGGGGGAACUUGAGUGCAGAAGAGAAAAGCGGAAUUCCACGUGUAGCGGUGAAAUGCGUAGAGAUGUGGAGGAA
rnacentral:rRNA from 2 species